rnacentral:rRNA from 1 species
GCCUACGGGGGGCAGCAGUGAGGAAUAUUGGUCAAUGGGCGAGAGCCUGAACCAGCCAAGUCGCGUGAGGGAGUACUGCCCUAUGGGUUGUAAACCUCUUUUGUCGGAGAACAAAACCCGGGACGUGUCCCGGACUGCGUGUAUCCGAAGAAAAAGCAUCGGCUAACUCCGUGCCAGCAGCCGCGGUAAUACGGAGGAUGCGAGCGUUAUCCGGAUUUAUUGGGUUUAAAGGGUGCGUAGGCGGUCCGUUAAGUCAGCGGUAAAAUUGCGGGGCUCAACCCCGUCGAGCCGUUGAAACUGGCAGC